CUAAGCUCUAAGGUGAUCGUAACUCCCACACCUUAACAUUGACGUACGACAGUCUUAGAGCUAAGGUGCUUGAACUCCCACACCUUAAUGUAGACUUACGACAAUGUCAGCGCCAAAGGGAUCGUAACUCACAUAACAACAUAGACUUAUGCCGAUUGUACCUCUGAGAUUGCCUUUUACCACGGCUCCCAGGCUUUACACUGCAUGUAAACAAUCUACUUGGAGGUGAUAGCUGAGUGAUUUUCAGCGUUGUUGAAAUGACCACAAGGCAAAUACCUCGGCACUUACUGCUAGUGUCAGCUUCACAUCGUGUGUGAUAGUAGUGCUAGACUUUAUGUUGGUCAGCUCACUACUCUCAGGUCGGGUUUCUACGAAUGAAUCACACCAGUUAUUCUUCAAUACGAAAUUUCGAAAAAUUUCGAGAUGCUUCAAUAACGCCCACGUGUAUAUAUAUCCAUACACACACAUAACAUAACAAACGUCCAUGCAUAAUACUGCUCACUUUUGAUUUGUUUAUACAUCCCUGAUUUUGAGAUGACGACAUGACAACGUCAUUAUGAACAACAGUUACACGUACACCGUCUCCAUGGGCACGGCUAGCCAGUUUGUAAAGCUGUCUUGCUGUCCUUGCAAAGACUCAGUCGUGAAUUAUAUGUACACAUAUUCUUUUGUAUAUAUUAAAAAGUAACUGAAGAUCAAACACAAAACAUAUACACCUUACGAAUACAUAUUUCGUAAAACUGAAAUACAAUUGUCUCUAUCGUAUGCAUGACCAUAAACAAUAAUCUUAGUGAAUACUAAGAUCUGCUGUUAAUGAAAUUGUUUUGAACAAAUAGGGAAUGUAAUGAAAA